rnacentral:rRNA from 1 species
UGGGGAAUAUUGGACAAUGGGGGGAACCCUUAUCCAGCCAUGCCGCGUGUGUGAAGAAGGCCUUAUUGUUGUAAAGCACUUUAAGCUAGGAGGAGGGUACUGGUAUUAAUACUACCAGGUACUGGACGUUACUCGCAGAAUAAGCACCGGCUAACUCUGUGCCAGCAGCCGCGGUAAUACAGAGGGUGCGAGCGUUAAUCGGAUUUACUGGGCGUAAAGCGUGCGUAGGCGGCUAAUUGAGUCGGAUGUGAAAUCCCCGAGCUUAACUUGGGAAUUGCAUUCGAUACUGGUUAGCUAGAGUGUGGGAGAGGAUGGUAGAAUUCCAGGUGUAGCGGUGAAAUGCGUAGAGAUCUGGAGGAAUACCGAUGGCGAAGGCAGCCAUCUGGCCUAACACUGACGCUGAGGUACGAAAGCAUGGGGAGCAAACAGG